CUAUUGGUUGAUCAGCACCGAUCGCACAUUCGCACCCACCAGUCGAGUAAACAAAGUCAUGAUGGUGGGAUCAAAAAGGCUAGAAUACAGAGCCGUAAAGUCAGUUUAAAAAAAAAAGUCUUGACGUCUUGGUGACGUCAAUUAUCAAUGUCAUAUUUUCAUUUGUUAUGUUUGUUAUUUUGGGAUAGUUUUUAGAAUACCUAUUUUUAAUUGAUGAGUGCGGUGAUUUUUAUUGCGAUUGUGAUUUAUAUAGAUAUCUGAUACAAAGAUAAUAUGUGUGUUUGUAUAUAGUUUUAAUACUUCUAGUAUUAAAAUUAUUUGCAGUGUACCUUUUCGUGUUUUAUUUGUUGAUUUAUAGGUUAUGAAGACGCGUACGAUUUUGUUGUUGUUUAUUUAUGUCUAAGUUAUUGUUUAAUUGAUGGUUGUACAUACUGUUGUAAGCCUUUUAUUACGUGUAUUCUUAAUAAAGAUUUAAGCAAAAAAUGAGUGUUUCAUUAUGAUUCUGCAGUGUCAACAUGGGUGCAAGCCAAGCUUGAGAAGCAAACUUUAUUCCGACAAGAAAAGGCAGUACUUUAUUGGUGCACGAUGGAUAUGCAUUCCGUUUAAAAAAUAAACUGGCGUAUGGUAAGAAGCAAUGGUACUGUACCUCACGGACCAAGACCGGAUGCCAUGCUGACGUAACAACAGUAUUCCAUCAACUCCGUACCCUCGUGAAUAGGGUAAGAAACAAGCAUAAUCAUCCUCCACCAGGUUUUUAUCGACGCAAUGAUGGAUCAUUUAGAAUUGUGUAAUUUUAAUUUUAAAACAGAUUUUAUUUAAUGUUACAUCUUUCUUAAUGUAACUGAAUGAGGCUAGCACCGAUAUUUGUAUUAUUUAACUCUAGAAUUUAUGGACUAUGUGUUUGAAAUAAGAAGACCAUCAGCAAUGUAACCACAAAUUCUGAAUUUUCGGUUUUUUUUUUUAUCUGUACUGUAAAACCUACCUACCUGUUAAAAAUAAUUCUAGGCAGACAGACAGAUGGACAGACAUACAGACGACAGUGAUCCAUCUUAUAAGGGUUUCUUUUUCCUUUUGAGGUACCAAAAAUUUGAAUAAUAGUGGUACAAGUUUGAUACAAGAUUGAAGCUAGGGAAUAACAUUGGUGACGGUAUUCUUAUUUGAACAUUGAAUUUGUAUAAAAGACUGAAGAGUAUAGAUCAAUUUCCUACCUCUUAAAAUAAGAUUGCUUAUAAAUUUUAUGAUAUUAUGCUAGAAAAAUAACAAUAUGCUCAAUUUUUUAUGUAUUACCUAUAAGUUUUUAGUUUUAGCUAUACUGUUCUGAAAUUGAGACUGAUAAGGUUUAAGUAGAUUAAGUGAAUUAUUUAUUCAUCAAAUUAAAAUGAUGAAUGAUUAUAUUAAUUCCCUGUGUAUUUAGAAAUAUUUUAAUAUUUAAUCCCCUGUGUACCUAUUCCUAAUACUAAAUGACUAUUUUUUGACAUUUAUCCAGGACUAUUAUCAAAAACCAUACAUACUCAUACCAUAACUUUAGAAUUUUUAUACACAUCGACAUUGGUGAAGCAUUGUAAAAAUAAAAUUAAGCCUAGGAUGAACCAUUUAAUUCUCGCUUAGAAAGAACUGAUUUGUGUGACUUAUGUAUAUAAUAUAAGACUGAUUUUUAAUUUUCUACCUCAUUGUACCUCAGAUUUUGAUACAUUUUUUUACUCUGUGUAAUUAAGCUAGGUUAGUUUGUCUGUUGAAGUUAACAUUAUUUUUUAAUGAUUUUUGGAAUUAGUUUAUUAGCAAUUAAAAUAAAUAAAUAAUUGUAUUUUUUGUUGUUUUAUUUCAAAUUUAAAAUUGAAAAAUAGGUAGGUAUGUUCACUUCAUCUUAAGUUCAUCCAUCAAAUUAUAAUUUCUUUGGAUUCACCCAAGCAAUUUAUGCCACCACUAGCUGGCCCCCGAUCUGGUAACA